rnacentral:lncRNA from 1 species
UCAGGAAUCACAUCGUCCAUCACAAACGGCCAUAUAUAUUCUGUUUCAUUUCUCGCGUCUGAUUCAUUCUUCUUCUGAUUGCUGAUCACACUCCCAAUUAUUUUGCUUUUAAAUUCAUUUUUCUCAAUUUUCACACCAUAGCUUUUAUGCAGCUCUGCUCUCUCACUCAACAAUCCUCUCCUUUGUAUCUAUAUCUCCAUCGGAACUGGUAAUUUUUACUCUCACUUCUUCGUGUUUGUGUGUGUACUCUGUUUUUUUUUUUUUUUUUUUUUUAUUUUGGGGGUUUGUUUUUGUUAUUGCCUUUCUUUCCCAUUUCUCUACGGAAUUUUGAAAGAUUAGAUUUUUUUUUUAAAUCCGUGGUAUACUGUUCAUCAGUCUGCUGUUCUCAAUUCUCCUUUUUUCCUAUUUUAUUUUAUUUUAAUUUUAAUUUUCCUUUUUUCACAGAAUUUAUACCGUUUUAUUCGCACUUUGCUCGUUACCUCUCUACUUUAUCUCCUUGGGCUGCAUUUUCAUGUGAGAAUCGCAAACGCCGACGCUCAACCGUAACCUCGCGCUUAACAUAAGCGGAUCUGCUUCGUCCGUUAUGUUUGGUAUUGUUUGGGAGGCUGAUUAUCGUUCAAUUAAUUGUAGAAUGUAUGUUACUUUGUUGAAACUGUGUUCAUGUUAGUCAAAAAUAUAUAGUUGUUUUCGUUACGGUUGUAGUUGGUAUCGAUAAUAGUCGUUUUUGUUACGGUUGUAGUUGGUAUCGAUAAUAGUCGUUUUUGUUGGAGUUCUAGUGUGUUUUUUUUGCUUUUGUUUUAGUUGAUUUUAAUAAUUUCUAGUUGAUUCAGUAUAGUUG